rnacentral:rRNA from 1 species
UACGGGGGGGGCAAGCGUUGUUCGGAAUUACUGGGCGUAAAGGGCUCGUAGGCGGCCAACUAAGUCAGACGUGAAAUCCCUCAGCUUAACUGGGGAACUGCGUCUGAUACUGGAUGGCUUGGAUUUGGGAGAGGGAUGCGGAAUUCCAGGUGUAGCGGUGAAAUGCGUAGAUAUCGAGAGGAACACCUGCGGCGAAGGCGGGUUGCUGGGCUGACACUGACGCUGAUGCGCGAAAGCCAGGGGAGCGAACGGG